UUGUUUUUUUCCUUCGUACUUUUCUCGAUUGCCUGGUAUGUUAUUUAAAAAAUGAAGAAAGUGCACAUCAUAAACAAGAACAGCAACAGAAACAUGGACAAAUUCCAACUUUUUUCCAUGUC
rnacentral:ribozyme from 1 species